UCGCAGAGCAGUGUCUGUGACGUUACGUUGGCCUUUUCCACGGUUUCGCAAGAGUGGACACUAGCCGGUGGGAUUGCUGUUUAUAAGCGAAGCGGGUUUUUAGACGUUUUAGAACAGUGGAAGGUGUUCUGUUGGUUGCAGAUAACUUCAUAUUACGUACAAACCGCACAGCCGUUUUUGCUGCAAAACAGCUUUAGCUGGGAUGUCCGACGACAGCCGCAGCAGUGGAGAACAGUGUGCAUCAGACAGUGAGAAGCACAACAGGCCUGGCAGCGCGGCCAGUGAUGCGAGCAGCGACGCCGGC